rnacentral:RNase_P_RNA from 1 species
AGAGGAGGCGCAGGCGGUUGCGAAUUGUCAAAGAAUCCUGAUGAAAGGAGACUCAAAGCAGUUUGAGGAAAGUCCGGGCUUCCGAAAGACUAAACUUGCUGGGUAACGCCCAGUGCGAGCGAUCGUGAGGAUAGUGCCACAGAAACAUACCGCCGAUGGAGUCUCACUAGCCUAUGGGCUAGUGAGGCUAACAGGUAAGGGUGCAAGGGUGCGGUAAGAGCGCACCAGCAGCGUCGAGAGGCGCUGGCUCGGUAAACCCCGGUUGGAAGCAAGGUCGAAGGAGCGAUCGGUUGGUCUUUUUCCGGCUCCGAGUAGGGGAGGAGAAAUCCUGCUUCUGCGAAAUCCGCUAGAGGUGUUUGGUGACAAACAUCCCAGAUAGAUAACUGCCGUUUGGGUGGUUCUGCCAUCCAAACAACAGAACCCGGCUUAUGUCCGCCUCUUCCC